GGGUGUGGGCCCCUGGCUGAUAUGCCACAGUCACCGGGGGAGUAAAGAAAGUUGACCCCGUGAAUACGCCUGUUACUUGUGGCUGAGAAGUGGAGCUUCUGUGGCCACCGAGCUCUUCCCCACGCAGGCCUCAGUGCACCCGAUGACAGGGAUCUGUACUGCCCCGCGUGGUGACCUCCAAUUCCGUAUACAACAAUCAUAGACUGGGCGCUGGGGACCCAAAACCAUGAAUCAGAACUGGACCCAACCCUCAGGGAGCUUAUGUGCCCCAUAUGAGGCCCCUGGAGAUGCCACUUCUAAUCAAAGCAGCCCCUAGAACUGCUCCAAAGCUCACUGCAUUAAUUCCUUUGCUUCAUUCUGGUUCAUUUAGACUAAGUCUGGUCACUUAGGAGUGCUUUCAGGGACGCUAUCAGCCGUGGAAAAGGACACAUAGUUCACUGACGUCUACUGUCCCCUCAUCCUGUUACCCACAGCACACCUGGGGGAGCCUGCAUGUCCCAUCCAGCAGGGAUGAGUGGGGAAGGAGGGAGGGGUCACUGCACAGCCGAAUCUGGGAGGCACCCAGAGGCAGGCCUGAGGCACCUUGCAGAAGCCUUGUAAACUGAGGCCCUUGGAGAAGGUGACGCUCCUUCUCAGCUUUUGGGAUGACUAUAUUCUCGCCUGGCCUGUUGUGGCAGCAGGGGAUUCGCAAGCCAGAUUGUAUCUUUCCCACCAGCAUUUUAAGCCUGCCCUUCUGGGCUUUCCUUAUGGAUGCUUCUCUCAGUUGGGGGAUUAUCUGUUCUACAGGAAGCUGUGGGAGACUACAUCCCUGUUCUUCUGCUGGGCAAUAAAAUUGACAACGAGGAAGAGCGGGAAGUUCCACGAGGCCUCGGAGAGCAGCUUGCCAAGGAGAACAAUCUGAUCUUCUACGAAUGCAGUGCCUAUUCCGGUCACAACACCAAAGAGUCCCUGCUCCAUCUUGCCAGGAUCCUCAAGAAACAAGAAGAUACAGCGAGGGAGGACACAAUACAGGUUGACCGCCCUGCCAAAAAGAAAUCUUGCUGUGGCUGAUAAGAGUCCUUCUAGGCCUGCUCCAUGCAGGCAUGAGGUCAUAGGACUUACCCGAAUCCUGAACAUGGGCUCCUGCUUGGAUGCUUCCACCACAGCCUGCCUAACCCUUUGUCUCUGUCAGCGACUUGCCUCCACCAACAGGAAAGGAAGCACAUCCAGUCAGGAAAGCUGCUCUUGAAGCAUUUUGGAGUCUUCUUUCUCUUCUCUCUCUAGACCCCAGGUACCCAUUUUCCCCCAGCUUGGUUUUGUGGGGAAAAGAAACAGAUGGGUUUUUCCAGAAAAAAAUCACCACGUGCCUUCACCUCCCUUCUGCUCCCCUUGCCCUUAGGAGCUGCAGCACCCUGGUUGCCAUGGCAACUGCGCAGGGCCAACUUGCUGCUUCCUGUAGGCCAAAGAUACAGCACUGGGGCAGGGCCAGGGUGGUGGGUCUUCCUUUGGCUCCUGUUCUCUGGAUAUCAAUGUGAUGCUCUUGGCAUAUGCUUUGUGGACCUUGAGAUGCCCACGUGGUGUUGAGAAAAGCAAGCCAGGGCGUUCACAUUCUAUUGCACACCCCACCCCCAGGGGUCCUGCUCCUUGCCAGGCUGCAGAACCCCGCCUCUCAGCAGCCGCCAUGCCUCCUGUAUUUGUCCCCUUGGGGUCUCUGGAUCGUGCCUUACAAGAAACCCACACCCACUCCUCUCAACCACCCACCCAUGACCCUGACUCCAAGGUCGACUGUGGGUGAUAAAUGUGUGCCUGGGGUUAGGGAAUGGGCUUUCUUCCUACUUAACUUUGACUAAGAGAUGAAAAGAAAACAGCGGGGAAAAACCUAUCUGCUGCUAAACACAGCGACCAUUUCUGGAGUAUAAAUAAGGUAUAUAUAGCUCAGUAAAAGCCAUUUUCCAAUGUUUCUCAAAAUAGCUCUUCGAAAAAUUGUACAUGAUGAUUAAUGGAGUAGAUUGACAUGAACGCAGUGAGGCCCAGCACCAGGUCCAUAGUUACAGACUUCAUUUUAUUUUAUUUUUUUCCAGAAGACUGUAUUUAAAAAAAGAAAGUAUGGCUGUGUUGUUGACAUAUAGCUGGUGUUUGAGAAGUGAGCAGGGUGUAGCUGUAGGCUUCAGCACCCCUAGGACUUCACCAGCAUAGGGCACUUGCAUUACAGGGAAUGAUCUGGGCCCAUGUGUGGUCCCUUCGUCUGGUUGGUGGUGAGUUCCCAGCCCCAGCAGGGCUCAAGCAUCAUUGGCUGGCUGUUAGGGGGGCUGGCAAGGGGAGGGCAUUCUUGCCCUGGGUGGGAGCCUGGAUGAAAAGAUCAUAAAGGUCACUCCCCAUUACCACUCCAAGGUUGCAGGCCCAACCCCACAGAAAAGUGAGUGGUAUCCAUACCCAAACGGGACGAAAUAGGAAGGGAGAGGAGCAGAAAGUGUCCACAGGCCUCCAAGAAGAUUCAAGACAACUGUACACAGCCAGCCAGGCAGGAGAGAGUCUGCUGGUCAGAGUUCCCAAGGGUGUUCCCUUGUAGCCUCCUCCCUGGACUCCUAAAACAGUCAGGGCCCCAUGGGUCACCAGGCAAGUGCCUACCUCCUUUUUGCAGGCUUUUCUCUCCCUCAUUUAGUGCUUGGAGGCACAAGGGAGCCCAUGGAGGGUGCAGCACAAAAGCCAGCACUGAGCACCAGGAGGUGCCGCAUGGUCUUGGGUAAGCCAGAUCCCUGUCUGGGCCACCAUUUCAUCAGUAAAAUGAAGGCUGGGCACUUUGAUGCUUCUGGCUCUUCUUGCUCAGAGUGCUUAUGAUAAUACCUUCAUUUUCCAACUUAGGCUGGCCCUGGCCCCCAGUCCAAAUUUGAAAGGAUCUCACAGGAAACUCCUUUCUCUAAGAGAGGGCCCUGGCAAUUGUCUCCUUCGUGGGAUGCAGGGGAUGAUGGGUUACCCAGAAGUGGCCCUCCAAUAUCUGUGUGGGUGUGUGUUGCUGUGUGAAUAUGUGUGGUUGUGGGGGUGGGGGCAGAUAGGGGAUAGGAAUCGCCAUAAAGAAAGUAAAUCCAAUCUCCUGCUUCUGAAAACAAAAAAGCAGAGAUGGCAGUUGGAAUUUAUGGGGCAAGUAGCCUAUAUCUGGAGUUUCCCAAGCCCACAGAUACCUUUAUCCCCUAUACGGAGUCCCUGGCUUGGGGCUGCAUUUUUCCAUUUAGGAAAAGGGCAUUCAGGGUUUAGAGCAGGGUGGAAUGACCCUAGUGCCUGACCCUACAGCAUGUGGGGUAAAUCCCCACAAAGCCUCAAAGGUCCAGGCAGACGAUUCCAUUUACAAUAGCACCAAAAACCAUAAGAUACCUCGAA